UGCGCAGGCGGGCUUGUAAGUCAGUGGUGAAAUACUGCCGCUUAACGGUAGAACUGCCAUUGAUACUGCGAGUCUUGAAUAUGGUUGAGGUAGGCGGAAUGUGUUGUGUAGCGGUGAAAUGCAUAGAUAUGACACAGAACACCAAUUGCGAAGGCAGCUUACUAAGCCAUUAUUGACGCUGAGGCACGAAAGCGUGGGGAGCGAACAGGAUUAGAUACCCUGGUAGUCC
rnacentral:rRNA from 1 species